rnacentral:rRNA from 1 species
AGCCCGGAGAUGGACACUGAGACAAGGGUCCAGGCCCUAAGGGGCGCAGCAACCGCGAAACCUCCACAAUGCACUCACGUGCGACGGGGCUAUCUCGAGUGCCACCUGAUGAAGGUGGCUUUUCCUUGGUCUUCAAAGCCUUGGGAAUAAGAGGGGGGCAAGACUGGUGUCAGCCGCCGCGGUAACACCAGCCCCUCGAGUGGUGGGGAUGAUUAUGUGGCCUAAAGCGUCCGUAGCCGGCCGAGCAAGUCUUCCGUUAAAUCCAGCGUCUCAAGCGUUGGACCGCGGGAGAUACUACACGGCUAGAGAGUGGGAGAGGUCAGCGGUAUUCUGGGGGUAGGGGCGAAAUCCUUUGAUCCCCGGAGGACCACCAGUGGCGAAGACUGCUGACUAGAACACGUCUGACGGUCAGGGACGAAAGCUGGGGUAGCGAACCGGAUUAGAUACCCGGGUAGUCCCAGCCGUAAACGAUGCAUGCUAGGUGUUGGGUUGGCCACGAGCCACCCCAGUGCCGCAGGGAAGCCGUUAAGCAUGCCGCCUGGGAAGUACGAUCGCAAGAUUGAAACUUAAAGGAAUUGGCGGGGGAGCACAAUCG